UACGUAGGGGGCAAGCGUUGUCCGGAUUUAUUGGGCGUAAAGAGCUCGUAGGCGGUUUGUCGCGUCGGCCGUGAAAUCUCCACGCUUAACGUGGAGCGUGCGGUCGAUACGGGCAGACUUGAGUUCGGUAGGGGAGACUGGAAUUCCUGGUGUAGCGGUGAAAUGCGCAGAUAUCAGGAGGAACACCGGUGGCGAAGGCGGGUCUCUGGGCCGAUACUGACGCUGAGACGCGAAAGCGUGGGGAGCAAACAGG
rnacentral:rRNA from 1 species